GGCCGUAUAGCUCAAUGGACAGAGCACCUGUCUACGGAACAGGAGGUUCCAGGUUCGACCCCUGGUUCGGUCA